AGUGAACGCUGGCGGUAGGCCUAACACAUGCAAGUCGAACGGCAGCACAGUAAGAGCUUGCUCUUACGGGUGGCGAGUGGCGGACGGGUGAGGAAUACAUCGGAAUCUACUUUUUCGUGGGGGAUAACGUAGGGACACUUACGCUACUACCGCAUACGACCUACGGGUUAAAGCAGGGGAUAUUCGGACCUUGCGCGAUUGAAUGAGCCGAUGUCGGAUUAGCUAGUUGGCGGGGUAAAGGCCCACCAAGGCGACGAUCCGUAGCUGGUCUGAGAGGAUGAUCAGCCAAACUGGAACUGAGACACGGUCCAGACUCCUACGGGAGGCAGCAGUGGGGAAUAUUGGACAAUGGGCGCAAGCCUGAUCCAGCCAUACCGCGUGAGUGAAGAAGGCCUUCGGGUUGUAAAGCCCUUUUGUUGGGAAAGAAAAGCAGCAGGUUAAAACCCCGCUGUUCUGACGGUACCCAAAGAAUAAGCACCGGCUAACUUCGUG
rnacentral:rRNA from 1 species